GGCUUCCUGGUGCUUUAUAGCCUGUGAUCUUACAUUGACAGUGCAGAGAGGAGAGGCAGAGAACCCUACCCCGUCUACACCUCAGCCCAGGGGCUGCAGGGGGAAAAAGAG
rnacentral:snoRNA from 1 species